rnacentral:misc_RNA from 1 species
AACGCACGAGACCUGCGGACCUGCGGAGGGAUCAUUAGUGAACGCCCUCACGGGCUUAUAACUAUUCCAAACCUCUGUGAACCGUGCCCUUCGGGGCUAUUUUACAAACAUGGUGUAAUGAACGUCAUAUAUCAUAACAAAACAAAACUUUCAACAACGGAUCUCUAGAUCA